ensembl:lncRNA
AGAGUCUGCAUAUCGAAUGUAUAAGGUACAGCUGGACACAGCACAAUAUUUUCUAUGAAAUGCAAAAGGAGCUAUUAUCCAAUAAGAAAUACAUCUGGCUUUGGUGUAGCAGAGCUUUCCCAAAGGCAAAGAAAUCGCUGUGAUAGUUAAACCUGAGACCAGAGGAUGGACGGGAUUCCUGCUGGAGCAUUAGAGCUUGCAUGAGGAGCGAGAUCUUGGAAUUUAUCGUAUUAUCAGCAUUUCUAAACAUUAGAAAAUCGGAAGCAAUGGCCCACUGUAGAGAUGGAUCCACUCAUGCCAUUUCCUGCUCAGCUGGUGUCCAGAAUGGAUGGAGCCUCAAUCCAUCGAACUCACAAAAAUGGUUGCCCUAGAACCAUUUUAUGGAGGAAAAAAUCACCUGUGACUACUACUGCAGGCAUUUGAAUGGAUCACGCCUUUCAGUGGAGAUGAGACAUCUCUCUUGUUUAUGAAAGCCAGGGAGAAAUGGAGACUGGGAGCUUGAAAGUGCUCCAUCUUGGGAUGACCUGAGGUCUUGAAUACAGCUGCAACUGGAAGCAAGUUUGGAGAUGCAAAAACAGCUUCUGAGGAAGAGAAUGCUUGAGACUGAUGCACUGAAGAAAGAACAAGAAGUCAGAAGCCAGAGAUAUGAGCUCAGGAGUACAUCAGAAAAUGACUGUUAGAUGGAAAUGUAAUGGAGAGCUGUGAAUUUCAGUGAAAAUACUGAAGGGAAGAAGAAGACAAAUUUCAAAAGAGCAAAUAGACAAAUGCCAAAAACAAGAACAAAACCAAAAAGCAUGGUGGGAAAUACGCAUACUAGAAAAGAAAAAUGUAUGUUCAAAUCAAUGCUAUUCAGAGUAAGCAAUUGGGGGAAUAGAGUCUGUGCAGAAUGUAUCAAGAAUUGGUUAUAUGUCUUCAAAGGAGAAUUUGAAUUCUGUCUUUGAUGUCUGGAUGAUCAUGAACUGUCCAAGUGAGCCUCAGGAACGUGUCAGGGAGAUUUGACAGUCCAAGAAUUGAACAACUAUUCCCAUUUCUGCUUUUUUAUUGAGAUAGAAAUAAGCAAGUAUCAAGUGUGGGAACUAUAAAAGAACUAUUAAAUAAUAAUGAGAUGAGGAAUACGGUACUUGUUCCCUCUUUACAUCCAAAAUAAAAAAAUAAGUCUCCCUGUUGGAUGGCAGACUUGUGCCUGCAGACUGCAACGACGAAGAGGAACAGGUGUAGUUAAAAUAAAAAUAACUAUCAGAAUAACAGUUCUGGUCCUUUGUAGUCCAGCUGGAAACCACUCUGAUUUGAAAACUGGACACUUAACAAUGGCAAAAUACUCUAACUUGACAACUCACAGGCUCUAUAGGUGAAGCAGCUAUGGAGUUACAAUACUCAAUAAAAGUAACAGUUGGACAGAUAUUGAGUCAAUAAAAUGACGGCAGCCAGGCAUACAAUAUAAUACUGUACAGAUGUAGGUGUAUUCCUCUAAACAGUUUGUACUCUGUUUCAACAAUAAAAAUGUGUGAUGUUUCCAGUACCCACCACCAGCCAGAUGAGAGAAGAAAUUAUCCAGAUGUUUUCAAUAUAAAACACACCAUCCUAAAAUCAAUUGAUAUUUCAUACUCUUUGUAUUCUUCUUUCCUGCAGAUGCAGGAAGUAUUAAUGGUGACAUGAUUGUAUGUUACCGUAGUUUAACAAAAUGGUCAGGAAGACGAGCUAUGUUAGCAACAUUAUUCGGACAUUUAAUAGCAUUUAUCCUUUUAACUUCAUUAUAGUGGAAUGCCCCAAGGCCCAAAGAGAGUUAUUUUUAACAUGACUUCAGACAGAAAGGAGUAACUUUUCAUACGGACACACAGUGGUCUCUUUACAGAGAUAUAUUACUAAGGCUCCAGGGUACAACAAUAAGGGGCUGCCACUUCUGUCUCCCCUCUGCCUCCACUUUUUCCUGCAAUCACUCCAUGUGGUCAGUACUCUCCGGUUUCUCCCUAAGGUCAGAAAUAAAAGUCCCUGACCCUGAGGCCUUCACAGCUGUUACCACUCUCCAGAUGUCAGCACUGGCCUGUCCCCUGUCCCCCCUUCCUCUUCCAAAAAAAAAAAAAAAAAAAACCAAAAAACCCAAAUUGAUUUAAUCUUACAUCUUUUCCAUGUUCCCCUUCAGAAAGCUGUGCGAACUACUUCAAGAUACCAAGCAUAUGUGUUUGUAUAUGUGCAUGUGAGUGUCCCUGAAAACAUUUCUUUUUUUUUUUUUUUUUUUAAAUCUUUUUUGCCAGUGAGGAUCCUCCUUCUUAUCCCAAAAGGAGAAGAGAGGGGACAAAAAGGAAGGAGAGACCUUCUCCCCUGUUGCACACAGCAGGGCCAUGGGAUGCCGCUGGAUGCUGGUGAUUCCAUUUAUGCCAUCUGGCACAGUGCCCCACAUUACCCUCAGAAUCACAGUGAUUAGCUUCAAGCCUCCAAAAGAAGACUUUGAAGUGUGGGUUGAGGCUGCUGUGGGGAUGAGUGGUGUUGAGGGUCUGCAAGAACAGGACCAGGACGGGAUUUCAGUGCCUCUACCCGCAUGUCUGUGUUAG